AUGCAAGUCGAGGGGCAGCGCGGGAUAGCAAUAUUCUGGCGGCGACCGGCGGAAGGGUGCGUAACGCGUGAGCGACAUGCCCGUUGCCCGGGGACAACCGGUGGAAACGCCGACUAAUCCCCGGUGGGGUAUUGUGCCGCAUGGCACGACAUUGAAAGUUACGGCGGCGACGGAUUGGCUCGCGUCCGAUUAGCUUGUUGGCGGGGUAACGGCCCACCAAGGCUACGAUCGGUAGGGGUUCUGAGAGGAAGGCCCCCACAAUGGGACUGAGACACGGCCCAUACUCC
rnacentral:rRNA from 1 species